AAGAUACUAGUAUAGCUGAUAAUACAUUGCCUUGUCGAGGCAAACUGUGGGUAAACCCCCGCGUGUCUUG
rnacentral:tRNA from 1 species